rnacentral:tRNA from 1 species
UCUUCGCUAGUAUAUCGGUUAGUAUAAUCGCCUCUCAAGUGAGAGCUUCCUCAGCUGUUCUACAGCUGUAUGGUGCGCGAUAGAGCAGGGUUCGACUCCCUGGCGGAGAA